AUUUUCCGGUUAGCCUUCGGGGUGUCCGCGUGAGAAUUGGCUAUAUCCUGGAGCGAGUGCUGGGAGGUGCUAGUCCGCCGCGCCUUAUUCGAGAGGUGUCAGGGCUGGGAGACUAGGAUGUCGGACACGUGGAGCUCUAUCCAGGCCCACAAGAAGCAGCUGGACUCUCUGCGGGAGAGGCUGCAGCGGAGGCGGAAGCAGGACUCGGGGCACUUGGAUCUACGGAAUCCAGAGGCAGCAUUGUCUCCAACCUUCCGUAGUGACAGCCCAGUGCCUACUGCACCCACCUCUGGUGGCCCUAAGCCCAGCACAGCUUCAGCAGUUCCUGAAUUAGCUACAGAUCCUGAGUUAGAGAAGAAGUUGCUACACCACCUCUCUGAUCUGGCCUUAACAUUGCCCACUGAUGCUGUGUCCAUCUGUCUUGCCAUCUCCACGCCAGAUGCUCCUGCCACUCAAGAUGGGGUAGAAAGCCUCCUGCAGAAGUUUGCAGCUCAGGAGUUGAUUGAGGUAAAGCGAGGUCUCCUACAAGAUGAUGCACAUCCUACUCUUGUAACCUAUGCUGACCAUUCCAAGCUCUCUGCCAUGAUGGGUGCUGUGGCAGAAAAGAAGGGCCCUGGGGAGGUAGCAGGGACUGUAACAGGGCAGAAGCGGCGUGCAGAACAGGACUCAACUACAGUAGCUGCCUUUGCCAGUUCGUUAGUCUCUGGUCUGAACUCUUCAGCAUCGGAACCAGCAAAGGAGCCAGCCAAGAAAUCAAGGAAACAUGCUGCCUCAGAUGUUGAUCUGGAGAUAGAGAGCCUUCUGAACCAACAGUCCACUAAGGAACAACAGAGCAAGAAGGUCAGUCAGGAGAUCCUAGAGCUAUUAAAUACUACAACAGCCAAGGAACAAUCCAUUGUUGAAAAAUUUCGCUCUCGAGGUCGGGCCCAAGUGCAAGAAUUCUGUGACUAUGGAACCAAGGAGGAGUGCAUGAAAGCCAGUGAUGCUGAUCGACCCUGUCGCAAGCUGCACUUCAGGUCUCUUGGAAGGGAAUGAGGUGGGAUGGGUUUGUCAGAAGCAGCCAUUCCUUUUCAGCAUAUUCCUUCCAGUCAUUGGGGUUCUGUCUGUAAUCUUAUUUAGUUUAUGGUUUGUGUAAGUCCUCCAGACCCUGAAGGUGUACUUUCAGAAGUGCAUUGUGUGGGAAGAAUACAGGCUGUACUCCCAAAUAAUUGAGAUUUUUUUUUUAAAAGCUCCCUCCCUCUUAGAAUAGCAAAGUAUGUCUGUCUCUGAGCCACAGUGAAAGUUAAAGUACUCUGAAAGGAGGAUAAUCUUAGGAGAAAAGGAACCUAAACUCUUAGGUCAGUGUUUUAUUCUGUUCUACCCAAGUCUCCUGCACUGCUUGCCUUCCAGUGGUAAAACAGGAAACCAAGUCUUUACUCAGAGAGGAAUUACAAUUGUUCUGUAGUAUGAAUUAUGGAUUUCCAUGCUACCUGCCUCCCUUAAAACUCUUGGAGGAAGCUCUAAUGAUAGAAUUAGGGGAGGGUAAUAAAAUAGACAUUUUGAAAUCAUUUGGAAUUUGAACUGUUGGAUCUACAUCUGGAGCACCAUCUUGA
rnacentral:sRNA from 1 species